rnacentral:rRNA from 1 species
AUCUAUGACCAUGCCACCCUGAACAAGCCCAAUCCCAUCUGAUCUCGGAAGCUAAGCAGGGUCGGGCCUGGUUAGUACUUGGAUGGGAGACCACUUAGGAAGACCAGGUGCUGUACGUG